rnacentral:rRNA from 1 species
AGAGUUUGAUCCUGGCUCAGGACGAACGCUGGCGGCGUGCUUAACACAUGCAAGUCGAACGGAGCACCCUUGAUUGAGGUUUCGGCCAAAUGAUAGGAAUGCUUAGUGGCGGACUGGUGAGUAACGCGUGAGGAACCUGCCUUUCAGAGGGGGACAACAGUUGGAAACGACUGCUAAUACCGCAUGACACAUAGAGAUCGCAUGGUUUUUAUGUCAAAGAUUUAUCGCUGAAAGAUGGCCUCGCGUCUGAUUAGCUAGUUGGUGAGGUAACGGCCCACCAAGGCGACGAUCAGUAGCCGGACUGAGAGGUUGACCGGCCACAUUGGGACUGAGAUACGGCCCAGACUCCUACGGGAGGCAGCAGUGGGGAAUAUUGGGCAAUGGGCGCAAGCCUGACCCAGCAACGCCGCGUGAAGGAAGAAGGCUUUCGGGUUGUAAACUUCUUUUAAGUGGGAAGAGUAGAAGACGGUACCUCUUGAAUAAGCCACGGCUAACUACGUGCCAGCAGCCGCGGUAAUACGUAGGUGGCAAGCGUUGUCCGGAUUUACUGGGUGUAAAGGGCGUGCAGCCGGGCAUGCAAGUCAGAUGUGAAAUCUCAGGGCUUAACCCUGAAACUGCAUUUGAAACUGUAUGUCUUGAGUGCCGGAGAGGUAAUCGGAAUUCCUUGUGUAGCGGUGAAAUGCGUAGAUAUAAGGAAGAACACCAGUGGCGAAGGCGGAUUACUGGACGGUAACUGACGGUGAGGCGCGAAAGCGUGGGGAGCGAACAGGAUUAGAUACCCUGGUAGUCCACGCUGUAAACGAUGGAUACUAGGUGUGCGGGGACUGACCCCCUGCGUGCCGCAGUUAACACAAUAAGUAUCCCACCUGGGGAGUACGAUCGCAAGGUUGAAACUCAAAGGAAUUGACGGGGGCCCGCACAAGCGGUGGAUUAUGUGGUUUAAUUCGAAGCAACGCGAAGAACCUUACCAGGGUUUGACAUCCUGCUAACGAAGUAGAGAUACAUUAGGUGCCCUUCGGGGAAAGCAGAGACAGGUGGUGCAUGGUUGUCGUCAGCUCGUGUCGUGAGAUGUUGGGUUAAGUCCCGCAACGAGCGCAACCCCU